rnacentral:rRNA from 1 species
UUGCUGGCGACCGGCGCACGGGUGAGUAACACGUAUCCAACCUGCCGAUAACUCGGGGAUAGCCUUUCGAAAGAAAGAUUAAUACCCGAUGGCAUAAUUAGACCGCAUGGUUUGAUUAUUAAAGAAUUUCGGUUAUCGAUGGGGAUGCGUUCCAUUAGGCAGUUGGUGAGGUAACGGCUCACCAAACCUUCGAUGGAUAGGGGUUCUGAGAGGAAGGUCCCCCACAUUGGGACUGAGACACGGUCCAA